AGCUUCUUUUGCAUCAUGAGGAAGAACCCCAUCUUUGAGGUAUGCAACCAGUGGGUCAAUCCAGCUGGGUUCAUGGCUGAUCUCCAUUACAAGCUGUGGUUCUUCCGUACUUGGAUAUUUCAGAACUUCGAAGAGGACUUCCUUGGGUAGUUUAGCCGGAGCCAGUGUAGCCAACUUGGAGAGAAGAUCGGCCCUGGUAUUUUCUGCUCUUGGAAUCUGCUUGAUGUCAAAGCUGCCAAAGGCAGGGAUGAUCUCUUUUACUUUUUCGAGAUACUUGGCCAUACUGUCCUCC
rnacentral:lncRNA from 1 species